GCCCACCUUCCAGUAAUGGGUUGACAGGGUGGACAAAAUCAAUGCAAUGGAAACAAUGACUGCAGUCUCACAGGGUCGCUCUGAUAAGUGUACCCAGACAUGGGCCUCAUGGUUUAUGUACAUAACCGCGAAUCAUUCAAGCGCCAAAACUAACUCUCAUUUCCCCACCCUGCCCCCUCACCCCUCUUUCCUUUUCCUUCCUUUCCCUUUUUUUCACUUCUCUGACCCCCUCACCACCAUGACUGCCAACAACCCAACUGACCUGAUCACUCUACCCCCUGGAUUGGAGACGAACACUCACUCGGACGUUCACCACUCACCAGCAAUACAUCCCUAAUCCGGCCUGAAGAUCCUGUAGGACACAAUUCCCAGCUACCACUACUCCCCUUCCAUACCACAUGUUACACAAACGUGCUACUGAAC